rnacentral:rRNA from 1 species
UACAGAGGGGGCAAGCGUUAUUCGGAAUUAUUGGCGUAAAGGGCGCGUAGGCGGCUUGGCAAGUGGAUGGUGAAAUCCCUCGGCUUAACCGAGGAACUGCCGUCCAAACUGCUUCGCUUGAGACCGGGAGAGGUGAGUGGAAUUCCCAGUGUAGCGGUGAAAUGCGUAGAUAUUGGGAGGAACACCAGUGGCGAAGGCGGCUCACUGGACCGGUACUGACGCUGAUGCGCGAAAGCGUGGGGAGCAAACGGG